rnacentral:rRNA from 1 species
UGCCUAACACAUGCAAGUCGAGCGAUUCUCUUCGGAGGAGAGCGGCGGACGGGUGAGUAACGCGUGGGUAACCUGCCCUAUACACACGGAUAACAUACCGAAAGGUAUGCUAAUACGGGAUAACAUAAGAGAUUCGCAUGGAUUUCUUAUCAAAGCUUUUGCGGUAUAGGAUGGACCCGCGUCUGAUUAGCUAGUUGGUGAGGUAACGGCUUACCAAGGCGACGAUCAGUAGCCGACCUGAGAGGGUGAUCGGCCACAUUGGAACUGAGACACGGUCCAAACUCCUACGGGAGGCAGCAGUGGGGAAUAUUGCACAAUGGGCGAAAGCCUGAUGCAGCAACGCCGCGUGAGCGAUGAAGGCCUUCGGGUCGUAAAGCUCUGUCCUCAAGGAAGAUAAUGACGGUACUUGAGGAGGAAGCCCCGGCUAACUACGUGCCAGCAGCCGCGGUAAUACGUAGGGGGCUAGCGUUAUCCGGAAUUACUGGGCGUAAAGGGUGCGUAGGUGGUUUCUUAAGUCAGAGGUGAAAGGCUACGGCUCAACCGUAGUAAGCCUUUGAAACUGAGAAACUUGAGUGCAGGAGAGGAGAGUAGAAUUCCUAGUGUAGCGGUGAAAUGCGUAGAUAUUAGGAGGAAUACCAGUUGCGAAGGCGGCUCUCUGGACUGUAACUGACACUGAGGCACGAAAGCGUGGGGAGCAAACAGG